GGUGGAGAUAGAGGUAGCGGUGCAUCAGAGUACUUUUUGGAGCUGGCAAGCGAAGAAGAAAAGGAAAGGUAACCAUCGCCGAAAGAAGAAAACGGCAGUUUUCUUACUUGGGGUUCUAGGAAAUACUUAGUUCACUCCUUCAUUUCUUGGAGAGGCGUUAUCUGAUAU
rnacentral:ncRNA from 2 species